rnacentral:rRNA from 1 species
AUUGAACGCUGGCGGCAGGCCUAACACAUGCAAGUCGAGCGGCAGCGGGAAAGUAGCUUGCUACUUUUGCCGGCGAGCGGCGGACGGGUGAGUAAUGCCUGGGGAUCUGCCCAGUCGAGGGGGAUAACUACUGGAAACGGUAGCUAAUACCGCAUACGCCCUACGGGGAAAGCAGGGGACCUUCGGGCCUUGCGGCACUGGCUGACCACAGGUGGGCUUAGCUAGUUGGUGAUGUAACGGCUCACCAAGGCGACGAUCCCUAGCUGGUCUGAGAGGAUGAUCAGCCACACUGGAACUGAGACACGGUCCAGACUCCUACGGGAGGCAGCAGUGGGGAAUAUGGCACAAUGGGGGAAACCCUGAUGCAGCCAUGCCGCGUGUGUGAAGAAGGCCUUCGGGUUGUAAAGCACUUUCAGCGAGGAGGAAAGGUCAGUAGCUAAUAUCUGCUGGCUGUGACGUUACUCGCAGAAGAAGCACCGGCUAACUCCGUGCCAGCCGCCGCCGUAACAC